ensembl:misc_RNA Metazoa_SRP Metazoan signal recognition particle RNA
ACCAGACACAGUAGAAUGCGCUGGCCCAGCUACUUGGGAGGCUGAGACAGGAGGAUCACUUGAGUCUGGGAGUUCUGGGCUGUAGUGUGUUAUGCCAAUCAGGUGUCUGCACUAAGUUCAGCAUCAAUAUGGUGACCUCCCGGGAGCGGGGGCUACCAGGUUGCCUAAGGAGGGGUGAACCGGCCCAGGUUAGAAAUGGACCAGGUCAAAACUCUCGUGGUGAGAUUGUACCUGUGAAUAGCCACUGCACUGUAGCCUGGGCAACAUAUUGAGACCCCAUCU